rnacentral:rRNA from 12 species
CUGAAGAGUUUGAUCAUGGCUCAGAUUGAACGCUGGCGGCAGGCCUAACACAUGCAAGUCGAGCGGUAACAGGGGUAGCUUGCUACCCGCUGACGAGCGGCGGACGGGUGAGUAACGCGUAGGAAUCUACCCGGUAGUUGGGGAUAGCCCGGAGAAAUCCGGAUUAAUACCGAAUAAUCUCUACGGAGGAAAGGGGGCUUCGGCUCUCGCUACUGGAUGAGCCUGCGUCGGAUUAGCUAGUUGGUGGGGUAAAGGCUUACCAAGGCGACGAUCCGUAGCUGGUCUGAGAGGAUGAUCAGCCACACUGGGACUGAGACACGGCCCAGACUCCUACGGGAGGCAGCAGUGGGGAAUAUUGGACAAUGGGGGCAACCCUGAUCCAGCCAUGCCGCGUGUGUGAAGAAA